rnacentral:lncRNA from 1 species
AUGUAUUGGUGGUGUUAUUGGUGGCGGAGAUGGCAGUUGUUUGACAGUUGUAGGGUCAUAGAAGGGGUAAAGAUCGAAUCUAAACUUACAGCUAGGUUUAUUAACUCCCCCACCUACUUUCCCGUAAAUAGAGGAGAUAUCUGCAAAAGCCCCAACUAAGCAAUCACUGCAAAGUUGCUCUGAUAUGUCUGGCGUGCAUUGCGCUAGUGCAAAUAUUGUUUGGAAGGAUGGGGCACUUGUGUUUCCGAAUGCAAAUUUCCGAAGAGAACCGCCAGCUGCAGCUUCACUUCUUAUGCUUUCCAGUAGCUUCCUCAGCUGUUGGUUGAAUCCAUCCAGGUCGGACGACGAUACGUUAUUAAUGUUAUAAUAAGCGGGAGAAGGCUCAGUUUCCAUGACGCCAUAGAUGGAGCGGUUUGAGUAGCGUAACAUGCAAUUGUCAUCAUACCAACCAAUUGCUUCCUUCCGAUUAGGGCAACUCUGAGGGAGAGCAUAUCGGGAAUUAUUUAGGCAGCUACGGCAAUCUUCCGCCUUGACAUCUCCUCUACAAAGUCCGAUUGCAUAAAUGUGCUCGUUCGACGAGUUUAGGCGAUAGGAUGCAUUGUAAAAGCCAUACCCGUUGCCGUUUUCGUCGGAGGGCAGGGAGGAGAGGAGGCGGUUGAGGUUUGUCUGAUAGGUACUAUUGGUGGUAUAGUUUCCUUUUCCGUCUAUGCAAUUUUGACCAAGGGCUUGAUUAAUCAUGAGAAACAGAAUGGGAAAGAGGCAGGAUAGAAAUCUUGAGGAAUCCAUUGCUGGCAUUAUUUGAUAUUUUUGCUAAAAUUGGUUUGUAAAAGAGGAUUAUAGUUCUGAUGGAAAACUUGCUACACGUCUAUAUAUGAAGAACGAAGUCAAUGAAUACCUCAAUUUACGCAAGACGCGGUGGUGGGAAGACUUUUAGUAAUAGCUCUAGCUACGAUACGGUAUUAUUAGUACUUGCUACCAUUCCUCUGCACAUGCAUGUUUAAGUGUUCUACAAUCUACAUGAUCUCUAAUUAUCUGGCUUUUCGUUUACAACUUUUUCAUGUACCAAGCCUACUCAACUCUUAUGAAAAAAGGAUGCCGUUAUGACGGUCUCAAGCCAAUAACAUAAGUUGGAAUUUAAAAUGCAUAAUAAUUUAAAUCAAAUACUACUUGAUUAUUCUUUCAUCAGCGAGGUUUCACACUGUUAUAAUUGAAGAUGCUGAUAUAGACGGGAGUGCUAAAUUAAAUAUUUAAGGUAGCUUCUUCCUAGACUUAUGCUAUUCAAGGAAGCUUCUUCCGAGACUUAUACUAUUCAACCAUUGAAAUAAAGUAAACCACAGACUGGAACAACUUCUCCUUUCUUUUCGGUGCAUGCAUUCUCUCAGUCAACAAAGUAAAUCAAUUAUAAUACGCAAUUCUGACAAUCAUUUACUCGUUUCGGUGGAUAUACCUUUCUACUUUGUGGUCAGAAUUAAAUUGUCGAUCUGUGACCGACUGUUUCUUAGUUCCUUUCGUCUCGGCUUACAUUGAUUGUAAUCGGAAAAUACAUGGUGGUUACUACGAUGAGCAAGAAAAGUUACAAUAAUUGAUAUUGCUGCACACCUUACUCUUUACUAUAGUUGAUACUAGCAAAGAUGCCCAAGCUCCAUUGCGGGUUUUGAAUUCGUAACCAUAGUUUAACACACCAAUUUUUAAAUUAUUCAGAAACCAAUCAAAGCAACUGAAUCGACAUGGUAAAUUAAGUCUUUCAGUUGGAUCUACAUUCUAUUGAAUUUACAUUAAAAGCCUAUCUUAAAAAAAAAUGUCGGAUUUUUUAAAGUCCCAACUAUAUACAAUGUACAUGAGUUUUUCACAUGAAUUGGAGAAUGAUGGUUGUUUAAUUGUACCUAAAGUGCAGCAGUAGCUGUCAGUGUGUGGCUAAAAUGCACCUGCACAGUGAAUCAAAAUUGACUCAUGAUUCCUUGUACUUGUAGCAUAAGUAGAAGGCAGCAGUGCUACACAGAAGUUUGUACUACACAAAUAGUCAAUGCUAUUUCCAAACCACCAUGAGAUUACUUAUAAUAAACUUACCUAGAAGUUGAAAUUCAACCGAACAUAAACAUCAGGCACAUCAGAAAGAUGGCAGCAGUUUAAGUCUUGAAGGUUCUCUUCAUUUAUGUCCUAGUUCACGGGAAAAACAAAAAAUGUGAUUGCAAAGAUGUGAUUCCCAACAACAAAGCCUACCAAAAUCUAAUCCUUUCACCAGUACCUACCUACCACCAAUUGAAUAUCCCACCAACACUCCAAAUUUUGACAGCCCUUAAGAAAAAAACUGUUCUAUGAAGCACAAAACUCUUCCAACACAUUGCUUGCAAGAUUUACUAUGUUUAAACCUCUGAUUUAUUGGUAUCAUGCGAUUUCUUUGAAAAUUUACAUAAACCUCAAAAAGUAGUAAAAGUGCUGCAGCAGCAUGAGGAGUUUUAUAACAAAGAAGUCAUUCAUUUCUACCGAUAAACUGAAACAAUGAUUGAUACAAAGGUCUUCGCAUCAGAUAAAAAUGACUGACUACGAAGAAUUCAAGUGCAAAAUGACUGACCAAGAAGACUUCUAUUUUUCAGAAAGGUAAAAAACAAUUAAUUGUUAUGGUACAAAUUCUAAAGUUAAUAAGCCCUUGAAGCAGGAAGCCAUAAAAAGAGCAGAAUUUUACAACAUACGUCUCAGAAACAAAUAGACUCAUUUGAAAUGUUCUUAAAGAAAUAAUACAGUGCCAAAUUGGAAUCAUAUCGGAGAAUAAAUAAAGAGGUCUAAGAUAUUUUAUCCAUAAACCUAAAAACUACAGAGAACAAAAAUAACAAUCACUCAAAUGGAAAGUACGGGGAAGCACUGCAUCAAAGGUCAGGUGGCAUACCAGAAUUUUGAUUCAAAUGUCAUGGCUGAGAACCUUUGCAUCAAAAGCAGCUGCAAGAGCAAAUGAUGAUGCUGCGAUAGGAGUCCAAACUAAACAGCAAAAAAUUAGAGAGAAUAAGAGUAAGAAUUCGAACAGAGUUCCUCUCAUAGAACUAAAGAAGUGAUGUUGAAACAACCAUUUUUUCCCAUUUUGUUUGACCAAGAAUCUAUUUGUAUAAAAUCCAAAUCCAAAUGCAGAAGAGAUAUGAGAAUAUAACAGAGGACCCUAACAGUUAAGAUUAGAGAGAAUAAGAGUCUGCAUUCGAACACAGUUAAGCGAUUUGUUCCAACACCUAACAAAAUUAAGAAUGGAUAAACAAAUACCUCAAUGAUGGUUUUUUGGCGCCUGCUCUGUGAAUGCAUGGUUUGAUGUGUAUGCUUGUGUUUGAUCUGCAUACAUGUCAAGAAAAAAUUAAGAAGUGCAUCACAGAAAUACAUAAGCAACCAAGAAUUGGAAAAACAAACUACCAACAGAGGAGCUAAACAGUUGCUAAAACAGCCUAAUCUCCCCAACACUCACAUCACAGAAAUACAGAAGCAACAAAGUAUGGAGAAACAAUCUAGCAACAGAGGGAUAUUCAAACGAUGUGAAGCGGAAAAGCAACCUCAAUUUGAUUUGUUGAGAAGGAAACAGCAGCAAAUCAUGAAGAAACACAGAAAUGAGCACAGUGCAACCCCCUAGCUUAUGAAGACACAAACCUGACUCUAACUGUGUACGGAAACAGAGCACUCAACAGCCUAAUCUCCCUAACACCCAACUAAACAGCCUAUAAACAUCCAUUACAAUUUUAAUGAAACAACAAAAUAUUCAUCACAGUUUUAACAAAGCAAAUGGCAAACCAAACAAUAAACAAUGAUUUUAAAACAGUGCAUUCCCUGUUGAAUCAGAGGUGAAAACUGAAAACCCACUCUCUCCCAUACCUCCCUCAGCCAUUCUCUCCUUAACAACCCUGUGGAGUAACCCGUUAACCCCAAAAAAUGCACACAGCCAUGCUUUCUGCCCUCUCUCUCUCUCUCUCUCUCCCUGUCCAUCCUUCUCUCAAAAAUUGGACAAAAUCCCUUUAUCUCUCUCCCACUCAGUCGAAACACGUAGCUCCCAUCUCUCUCUCCAAUCUGUCAUUCCCUCUGUCCCACUCCUCUCCUCCCCCAACGACCCUCUGACCGAUGCAUCUCCCACAGCCACACACCCACCCGCCCCCGAGUCAAAAAUCCCGGCUAUCCUCUCCCUCCACACUAAAGAUAUUUUCAAACAAAUCACAAUCCAUCCCACAAAGUGCAUCCAACUCCAAGGCAAGACUAAGCAAACACACAAAAUGUAUAAAAACCAAAGAAAAGUAGAAGUGUAACAAUAUUGUUAUGCAUCUGUAUUUAUUCUCACAAAUAACGAAUAUAAGAAUUUGAUGAUCUUGUUACUCAAACUCCAAGGAAAAAUGAAAUAAAAUUCAAUGGUUAAAAUUAAUCAUUCUGUAAAUGUAUUCCCCACAUCUAUAUCAUUCAAGUACAACGGUUUCAACAACAAAAAAUUCCUGAUUGACUUCAGUUCAAAACAUUCAAGUUCAACGUAAUUGAAACCUGUGCAAGAGAUUCGAUGAAAACCCAGUUCCAAUAUUAGCCACAACGAACUGAAGCCGUAUCGGCUCAGCGAGAACCUUCUCGAUAACCUCCUUCAACGCAACCUAUCAAUUCCAACACAAAAAUUGAGAAAAAGUGCGAGAAUAUUUGAGCUUGGGAUUUUCCCGGAAACCAAACAGGGGUCUAGACUCUAAACCAAACCUUGGGCGAGGGGUGGGGUGGAGAGAGAGGGCAGAGCUUUGAGGCGAGCCACCACCUCUACCCUCCUAUCCACCAUAUCUAAACAUCCACAGAGACAAAUUGUCAAACACCUAAUGGGUGCGCAUAUACAAACACACACACAGACCUGUAUAUACAAAAAUUACCACAAACAAACACACAUACACCUAUAAAUACAAAAGGGGGUGUCUAUAUAAUCACCUUGGGGAACAUCUUCGGUGUGAUGGAGGGACUUGUGGAUGUCCAUGGCGUAGUCGACCGUGUUGGUCUUGUUAAGGAGCAUAAAAUGGACUUGAGGAUCUACUCAUCUGGGUACAUCUGCCGCUCCUGUCCGAACUCGAGGAGGGAAAAAAAAUGAAGAAAUUUGGGUUUAGGGAUCUGGGUUUUGGGUUUAUCGUUGAAUACUGGAACGGUAUAAAGAAAUUUGGGUUUGUGGAGAGUAGCAGAAACUGAGAAUGCCGAGAGAGAAUCAAAAAGCAAAGAAAAAGCGGAGAAGAAGUCGAGGUGCAGCGAUGACAGACGCCUGGGCUAGCUUCCACCGUGCGAAGCGGUGGCUCAUACUUUUCUCUGACCAUCUCCCCUCUCCCACUCAUGAAAUCGAGGAUCUGCGGCAAUGGCCUCUCUCUCUCUCUCUCUCUCUCUCUCACAGAGGAGGCAUGGCCUCCCAUCCCCGAAACCCUCACUGAAUGACAACAAACCUAAACCCACCCCAAUCCCUCUCUUACUCAGUCCAAACCCGUAGCUCCCAUCUCUCCAAUCCGUCAGUCCCUCUGUCCCCCUCCUCUCCUCCCCCCAACAACCCUCUGACCGAUGCAUCAGCCACAGAACACCCACCCGCACGUCCCUCCCGAAAAUCCUCUCCCCUAAAUCCCGGCGAACGUCUCCCUUUCAACCCUUCUGUCGCCCUUCCCUCUCUCUCCCCAAGCCAUAAGCCCAGAUCCAGCCGAAAGACCGAAGACCCGUUGUUAAGCCCAGUGGCAAUCUUGUAAAUGAAGCGAAAUUUAGGAUAGAAUCAGCCCGGUGGCAAACUCGUAAAUAAAGUGAAAUUGAUGCAAAAUUGCACAGUAGCAAUCUUAAUGUUCGAUUCAAACACUACGAUGCAAUGUCCGUAUUGUGAUUUGCUUUUUGUGGAUUUAAACUAGGGGAGUUUAACGAAAAGCACCUGGUACUGUUCACUUUAACGAAAAACCACAUUUUUACACUAAAAAGUCAAUCCUGGUACUAUUUACUUUACCCUUUAUUUUGUCCUUAUCAUUAAAACUCAAAGUUUUCAAGCCAUUUUCAUUAGUUUUCCUUUUAAACUAUCCAUUGCAGUGCAUGUUUGACUAGUCACAUUUAAUGUUGUAUUUUUUUUAUAUACCUUUAAAUAUUGGAUUAUUUAAUUUGAUUAUCAUAAAUCAGAAACUAUAACGCAGAGUCUUAAUUUACUUAUUUUGGGUAACAUAAACUGCAAUGCAAUAUGUGAAUCCCUAAUGACCAAUUCCAAAAUAUAUAAAAUAUGAAAAAGGGGUACCGAGUGUUAGAUUUUAUAAUUUUUAUUUAUUUUAAAUAAUUUUGUAGAAACCGUAUAUUCAAUAUCUAGAUUUAAGAGAUUACAACCUAUAUUUAUACACAAAUUAUAAGAUAUCUUCUUAGUGGUUACAAUGGGACGGAAAACCAAUUAUAUCCUAAUAAAGGCUAAUAACAACAUAAUAGCUAAACAAUAAUGUAUUGUCCUUGAAGAACCGUAACUAUGGUAACUCCCGUAACUCCCUAACAAAUUUAAAUACAGAUUUUGUAGUUUUUGUUUAUCCUUCCCUCCCAGUUGCAAACGUAUGCAUAGAAGGUCUAAACGCGGCUACGUUUGUCAUCAAAUAGGCCAAUAUAUACAUCACUGAAAUGGUGUGGAUUGAUACAUUCUUCUCCUGACUAUCCUUGUCCAGAUACUUUCCUGUGUAAACGAUUAGUUGAAAGAACAUCUGGUAUGGAUAUUGAACUUGGCAUAGCUUGUACCAAACAUUGCAUCAGUUGUUUUGCAACUCUUGAAGAUUUCCUUGCUUGCUUCAUGAAACAGUUUCGACAAACUAUGGAGUUAACAUCCCAUCUACAAAGUGCUUGUCCAGGGACUAUGUCACGUCCAUCUCCAAUCGUGUCAUUGUAAAAACCUCCUGUGAUGGAAGUGUUAGAAGACAAUGACUCAAUAGCCGCUCGAGAUUGCUUUCAAAUUGACUACUUCUGCCAUCAGCUGAACAAAAAAUUGAAAGGGGAUCUGUAGCAGAAAGGGCAGCCGGCAUCAACAGCACAAUAAUUGCGAAAAGCAUUACAAGAAGUUUAUCUUUGUCCAUUUGCUAGAAAAGGGUUCACGGUGAACACAGAUUUUGGCCAAAAGCAAGAAACACUUUGAAGAUUUAUUUUGACGACGUUUCAGUUUUGACAGUGAAGUUCCAGCUACAAGUUUACAUGUGACCAUCACAGAAACUUCCUUGCUGAUGGAAGACGCAAGCCGGAUGUGAUUAAAGUCAUGAUCUGCAUGUUGAUAGAGACCAGGAAUAACAUAUGGUGUUCAAAUGAUCGGUUAAUUGUUGAUUGAUCAAAGACUUUGCAGCUUGGUCACAUAUAGUGCAUGCUUAAACUACUUGAUUAAAAUGUGAUUGUUUAGAGUUGACUGGCCAAACAAGCAGUGUCUGUUGGUUAGUACAAGUCUAACUAUUUGUUUGACCAUUCUACUCGAAGGGAGCUGCCAUGAAAUUACUAGUAAGGUCUUUGGAGUCUUUAUAGCAGCAUGAGGAUGUGUGGGCAUACAAGAAAUAAUAUGAUCAAGAAUAAUAAGGAUAUCCAAUGUAAAGUAGGAAUGACCCCAAUUGAAAAUAAGAUAAGAAAAAAUUGAUUAAGAUGGUUUGAACAUUUGAAAUGAAGACCUAAAGAUGCUCCAGUUAGAAAACGCAACUACGUGACAAAGACUCAUAACACAAGGGCACAAGGGGUAGAUGAAGACUUAAAAAAAAUUAGGAGACUUUAAGAAAAGACAGAGACUAUUUGGAGCUAAUAAAAUACUUGGCCCAAAAUCGAGUACAGUGACGUUCUAGGAUUCAUACAAUCAACCCCACUUAAUGGGAUGAUGUAUUUUUGUUGUUGUUGAUGUGUUUAUGCAGGCUCUAUUUUGUUCACUUAUUAUAUAAACCGGUCAAAGUAUCGAUUUGCUUAUAUCGCACAAAUUUCCUUGCUGACCGAAAAUCCAUAGAUAUGCAAUCCUGCUCAACAAAGUCUUGAUCAAGAAUACUGUAUUGAUCAAAGACUUGUUUAAUUAAAUUAGUUAAACUCACAUCAGUAAAAAUUAAAAUUCAGUCACACCACAAGUUGAAAGAUUUGUUGACCCAAAACUAAUAGAUAAUGACAAGGACUUCACAACCAUCAAAUAAUAGUAAACUGUCAGUGUUUGAUUCGUGUUUGUAUUAUUUGAAAACAAAACUGCAAAUUGAUUCAGUGAGACGAUGAUUCACACCGAGCAGCUGAAAAACGAAGAACAAAGGAGGAAGAGAAUUCGGAGUCGUUGCUUCAGCAAGAAGGAUUCUAUUUCUUCUUGUUGAUGAGAAUGAGUUCACGUUAAUGGGAGGAAAUAUCUUGCAUGAACUUAUAAAAGAGACCUACUCUUCAUAUGGUCAAUUGGUUUUGUGGUGAAACCUCAACUUUUUUCAUGGUAUCAAAGUAGGUUGAAUAGAAUUUUACGGGAUAAUUUCCGUGUAUUCCAUAAUUCUCAAUUAAAGGAUAUGUACAACCCUAGUUACAAGAAAGGCAACAAAUAAAGGACAUAAUACCUUUCCUAAAACAAGACUCUAGUAAUUACAAAAUAUUUACAUUCUCUUUUCUACUAAAUAUUAACUUAUUCCAAUACUCCCCCUCAAGUUGGAGCAUAAAUAUUACUCAUGCCCAACUUGACAAGCGACUCACCAAACCUUCUAUUGCACAUGGCAUGGGUAAGUACAUCUGCAAGUUGUUCCUCUGAGUUCACAAAUGGUAUUGACACAAUCUUCUUCUCCAGCUUUUCUUUGAUAAAAUGUCUAUCAACUUCAACAUGCUUAGUCCUGUCAUGCUGUACUGGAUUCUCGGCUAUCUCUCUAGCGGACUUAUUAUCACAAUACAACUUCAUUGCCUCCUUCUGUGUAAAACCAAGGCUCUCAAGUAACUUUUGCAGCCAAAGCAUCUCGCAUACACCAUGUGCCAUUCCCCUAUAUUCGGCUUCGGCAGAAGACCGUGACACCACAUUUUGUUUCUUGCUCCUCCACGUAACCAAAUUGCCUCCAACGAAUGUAAAAUACCCCGAUAGACCUUCUAUCAGUCACAUCACCGGCCCAAUCAGCAUCCGUAAAUCCCUCGAUCCUCAUAUGCCCAUGACUCUCAUACAAAACUCCUUUACCCGGAGCAGACUUUAAGUAUGCCAAGAUUCUCAUCACUGCCUCCAUAUGAUCUACACUUGGUGAGUGCAUAAACUGACUAACCACACUUACCGCGUAAGCAAUAUCCGGACGAGUAUGAGACAAAUAAAUCAGCCUCCCCACCAGUCUUUGAUAUCUCCCUUUGUCAACCGGUUCCUGAUCUGGAUAAAUCCCCAAAUAAUGUUUCUCUACGAUAGGAGUGUCCACAGGUUUACACCCCAGCAUGCCUGUUUCCUUUAAUAAAUCCAGAACAUAUUUACGUUGAGACAAAAAAAUACCUCUAGAUGACCGAGCGACUUCCACUCCAAGAAAGUAUUUUAAAUCUCCCAAAUUCUUCAUCUCAAACUCGGCAGCAAGGUUUUGUUCAAGCUUCAUCAUCUCUUCUGAAUCAUCACCGGUUAUUAUCAUGUCAUCUACAUAAAUUAUUAAGGCAGUCACUUUACCACUUCCCCGUUUCACAAAUAAUGUAUGAUCCGAAUGACUUUGAUAAUACCCAAACCUCCUCAUAACCUGAGUAAAUCUCCCAAACCAUGCACGAGGUGAUUGCUUAAGUCCAUAGAGUGACUUUCGCAAUCUACAUACUCCGGUUUUUCCUCCGGCAUUGUACCCCGGAGGAAAAUCCAUAUACACCUCUUCUUCUAGAUGCCCAUGAAGAAAAGCAUUCUUUACAUCAAACUGUUUCAGUGGCCAAUUCAAGUUUGCAGCUAAAGAAAUCAGAACACGUACCGUAUUCAUCUUCGCUACUGGAGAAAAAGUUUCCUGAUAGUCAAUACCAUAAGUUUGAGUAUACCCCUUCGCUACUAACCUUGCUUUAUAUCUGUCUACCGAUCCGUCUGCCUUAUAUUUAAUUGUAAAAACCCAUCUACACCCAACUGGUUUCUUGCCUUUAGGUAGCUCCGUCACCUCCCAUGUAUCAUUCUUGUGUAGUGCCAUCAUUUCUUCAUCCAUUGCAGCAACCCAUUUAGGAUCCUUCAAGGCCUCCUCAACUCGGGUUGGUGCUUGGAUUGCUUCCACAUUAUUUACCCAGGCUUGACGUUCAGGUGCAAGGUUUUUGCACGACACAUAAUUUGAUAUUGGAUACUUUACUUUUCCUUCAGGAGAAAACCUGUCAGGAGGAACACCACGAUUUUGCCUUGGCGGCAACUUAUACAUACUUACAUCAUUAUUUGGAUUAGUUACAUGAGCAUCUGUAGUACUUACCUCAGGGAUAUUCAGAGUAGACACAUUGGGUGGCACUAUCGAGCGAGAGAGAAUGUGAUGUGGGUUCUGCAGAUGGCACUUCUUCCCUUAAAGUACUUGGUUCGGCAGUAGGCUGCUGGAUUAUUAUAGCUUCCUCAGUAGGACCUUGCCUAAAACCUGCACUUGUCUCGGCAGGCAGCAACUGAAGGCCCAUAUCAUUCUCGGCAAUUUCUUGUCGAAAAUUUGGUGUCCCAUUUUCAUCCUUGUCGUCAACACAUGCUCCCCCUGAACUACAUAUCACAUCCUCGGGUACCUCUAACCACCCAAGAUCAACUUGAUCACCACUAGUGUUCUCCCCCUGGUGAUCUGAAGGUGAUGGGAUCGAAGAAUAGAAAUACUCUGAUUCAGAAAAAGUAACAUCCAUAGUCACAUACAUAUGUCGAGUUUCAGGAUGAUAACACUUAUACCCUUUCUGUUAAGAGGCAAACCCAACAAAAACGCACCAAAGGGCACAUGGAUCCAAUUUGCUACGAUGAAUCAUGUGAAUAUGAACAUAUGCUACACAUCCAAACACACGAGGAGUAAGGGUAUUAGUGGAUACUACAGGAACAUGUUCCGUUAAUACUUGAAGAGGGGUACGGAAUUCUACAACCCGAGAUGGCAUACGGUUAAUCACAUACACAGCAUAGGUAACGGCUUCAGGCCAAAAACGUUUAGGCACAGACGCACCAAUAAGCAGGGCACGAGCAGUUUCCAAGAUAUGACGAUUCUUUCUCUCAUCAACCCCAUUUUGUUGUGGAGUAUGCGGACAUGUAGUUUGAUGAAUAAUUCCACGAUCUUGUAGAAACCGGGAUAACUCAGAAGCUAUGUACUCUUCACCGUUGUCAGAACACAAAACUUUAAUAUCAAUGGAAUACUGAGUUUUAACCAUCUGUUGAAACAGACGAAACACAUCACAAACCUCACUUUUAUUUUUCAACAUAUACAACCACAUCAUACGAGUGCAAUCAUCCAUGAAAGUAACAAACCAUCUAAUUCCCGAAGUAGUACUAACAGGGGAAGGCCCCCACACAUCAGAGUGUACUAGUGCAAAUGGAGAAGAUCUUCUAUUCAUACUUGGAGGGAAUGAAGCACGAUGACUUUUGGCUAAAAUACAUACUUCACAUUUCAAUUCUGAGUUUUCAAUACCACUGAACAAAUCAGGUACUAUAUGUUUCAAAUAACCAAACGAUGCAUGCCCCAAACGACGAUGCAAUAACAAUACCUUCUGUAGAUUCCUAUUACGUGACGAAUGAACCAAAUGAGCUCUUCCAGGAACCACGUCAUCCACAUAAUAUAGUCCCUCUCUCUUAGUGCCACGCCCAAUGAUCUCCUUUGUUUGAAUAUCCUGAAGCAAGCAAAAUGAAGGAUACAUUACUACAACACAAUCCAAUUGUUCAGUGACUUGAGGUACAUACAAUAAGUGAUGGGACAAUGACGGAACCAAUAAACAAUUAUGUAACGGAAGAGAGGGUGUAAGAGACACUGUUCCCGCUCCAACAAUGGCAGCAGUAGUACCAUUGGCAGUUGCCACACACUUUUUAUGAGAAUCUUUCAUGGACUGAAACAAAGUUCUAUCAUACGUCAUAUGAUCCGUUGCACCGGAAUCUAAAAUCCAACCGGUAUUGGUCAUUGUAAUAACAACUGCACAACAGUCUCUACACACUGCACAAAACAACAAGUACGCACAAUACUUAUACGCAACAAACUACACACUUGCAGCUGUAGACACGCUGAUCCACGGACAGAAAUCACUAGCACAAACUGUAGCCCACGGUACAAGAGAACAAUCCACACAUUGCAAGCAGUAGCAAGAACCCACAAAUCCUUUUUUUUUUUUCAAAAGAGAAAAAAUUGCAGAACUUGCAGACAUAAUCUGAAAUAAUAGUACUAACACGCACAGGAACAAGGGCACGAUAUUGGACAACAAUUCAAGUGCAGCUCGGCACAAGAAUUAUAGUUAUACUCACUGCAACAAAUUGGAUAGCAAGCCAAAUUGUUUACUACCCACGGGAUAAAGGAAAAGGUACUUUGACAAUUGAUGCAAAGCAAUUGUAUGCUAACAAUUGCACAACAAUUGUACACUGUUAAAAACCACAAGCACAUCAAUACCAUUCACACACGGUUGCACACACAGCAACAACACACACGCACAGUGACUGAUCUCUGCGAAAAGAAUUGCAGAAAAAACAGUUGAUUGAGCACAGCGGAAAAACUAGGGUUACGGCAGCCUUGGCUCUGAUACCAAAUAGAAUUUUACGGGAUAAUUUCCGUGUAUUCCAUAAUUCUCAAUUAAAGGAUAUGUACAACCCUAGUUACAAGAAAGGCAACAAAUAAAGGACAUAAUACCUCUCCUAAAACAAGACUCUAGUAAUUACAAAAUAUUUACAUUCUCUUUUCUACUAAAUAUUAACUUAUUCCAAUAGGUUGUCCCACGUGUGAAGCCAAACGGUAACACGCGCUCUGCGUCACCCUAUUGUAUUAUCCACGUGUUAGGCUUGAAAAUUUAUCACACGUGAGGGGACGUGUUGAGAAUAAGUCUCAUUUUAAUAGGAGGAGGGAAUUCCAUGGGCUUAUAAGAGGUUAAACUACUCUUCAUUUUACCAAUUGAUUUUAUGAUGAAACCUCAACUUUCUCUUCUUGUAGCUGAAUAGAGAGAGAGAGGGAGUUAGAUAUAGCUGAGCUGAGCUAUUGAAGGCAUACUAGUUAUUAGAAUCCUUUUUACUAUUUAUCCUAGUAUUAAUUAAGGGAACUGUUAUUAACACUAAAAAAAUCUCAUUAUAUACUCUUCACAAGUAUAUUUUUCUUUCUAAUUAUUGAAAGUUUGGAGUGUUAAAUGAGGUUUUAGGAGUGCUAAUAACAAUUCCCUUAAUUAAAGUUUGUAUAAUUAAUCAAAUAUAUACAAGGUGUGAUUGUAACAUUAUCAUGGGAUUCUUACUUCCAGCUUCUCGGUAUAUAGUUUUUAUCACAGAUUUAAAUAUCGAUAUUAUCGGCGAAAUAUCGCCGAUAAUAUCGAUUUUUCGGGUAAUGGAUAUUUAAAUAGGUUUCUGUGUGGUUUUCGUCCAAAUAUCGCGAUAUUAUCGAUAAUAUCGAUAAUAUCGCGAUAUUUUGGAAAUAUCGAGAUAUUUCGUUGAACGGUGCAAUCGGACUCCGAUUUCGAACGCCGGAGAUGGUGUGGCUGUUCCCGAGCCCAUUUCGUCCCAAAAACCUUGCAAAAACACGAAUUUUAACUUCAAUUUCACAUAUAUGCUUCAAAUUUCACGCAUGCAUCAACGAUUCAACAUAUGAUGUCGGUUUAGGGCUUAGGGUUUCAAUGGAAUCUCACCUGAAAAAUCGAUGACUGGGCCAACUCCUUUCUCAGCGGCGCACCACCAGAGACGACUGAGCCAAGUCCGACUUCGCCAGAGCCACGAUCAACGGCAGCGAAGGAUCGAGAGAGUGGGCGAAGGAUCGAGAGAGUGGGAGAAGGGGGAGAUCUGUGUGUGUGUGGGUCGAAUGGAGAAGGGGGAGAAGAGAGGUCAGGCCUCAGAGAAGAAGACCCCGGAGGCCCGGGAAACAACCGUCAUCGCCAACACGCGCAUCGACUGGAAGGAGACCCCGGAGGCCCACAUCUUCAAGGCGGACCUCCCGGGGAUCAAAAAGGAGGAGGUGAAAGUGGAGGUGGAGGACGGGAGGGUCCUGCAUAUCAGCGGCGAGAGGAGCAGGGAGCAGGAGGAGAAGACGAAGAACUGGAGAAGGGAGAAGCUCAGAAGUUCUAGAGAGAAGGAAGGGAGAGAAGAGAAAGACAGAAGUUCUAGAGAGAGAAGGAUCCAGAGUGAGACUCUGUGGGCGUGCGUGGUUUUGGAUUUUGGGGGGGGGGGGUUUGUCUGUGUGACACACUGACUCACUGACUCUCUCUUCUGCGUGUGAUGUGUGGUGGUGUGAGAAAAAAAAAAGAAUCCAAUGCAAUGAUCCAAUCCAAAUAAUUCAAAAUCAAAUAAAAAAACAUAUAAAUAAUUCAAAAGCAUCUCCAAAUAAUUUUGACAAGACACUCACUCUACACAUAGAGAUGAUGAAGAUAGUGAAAAAAUUGAACCUCAUAGGAACUCUAUGUGGUACUAAAGUGUAAAAUAUUGUACUAAUUCAUUAUAUAAAUGAUUAUGGUGUGUUUAGACUUCUUUCAUUAAUUACUACAUAUUUUCUACACUCACAAUGUUUGUCAGCUCGCUAUAUAAUCAACUUGAUAAUGUUAAAUCCAUCAUGCAAUGCAUUUCCUUCCAAUUUUUUGUGAUAAACUAAUAGAUAAUUGACUAAAUAAACAUCCUGCAAAGUUUCAAUAAAAAUUUCCAAGUUUUUCUUACAAUUUCCGUGGUUUCCAUGUAAUUUUUAUCGAUAUCGAUAUUUUACCGAUAUUUCCAUCGAUAUUUCCGUGUUUUCAGACUACCGAUAUUUCCGAUAUUACCGAUAUUUAAUACCAUGGUUUUUAUAAAAGAACAUGGAUCCCCUCCGGAUCCAUUAUGUGGGGAUCUUAGGAAUCCCCACAUCUCAUCCGUACAUCGUGAAUCGUGCGGUCAGAAAUUAUUUUAUUUUUAUUAUUUUAAGUUAAUCACAAAUAGUACCUUACGAAAACUGGCCGCACGAUAUACGAUGAAUGAUUGGGAUGUAGGGAUCCUUAGAAUCCCCACAUAAUGGAUCCGGAGGGGAAGACAUUUUCUCACUUAAAACAUCGUCGUCAUGGAUAUUUUUCGUUGUAAAAAUUUAGGGCUUCUUUGGUACUCUACUUGAAUCCAAUUUUUUAAACUUAAAAACAAUUUUCAAGUUUUAGACCUUAAAAAAUUGUUUGGUAGGACUAUUUUAAAAAAUUGAACUCAAGACUAACUAAAAAAUAUAGUCUAUUCUCUAAAACCAUAAAAAGUGAGUUUUUAAAGUUUUUAAAUUUAAACUCACUCAUUUCUUUCAUUUCCGCUUGCUCUCUCUCACUCCAAAUCUAUCUCUCUCUUUUCUUCUUUCUCUUUCCUCUUUUAUUUUAUUUAUUUAUUUUUUUUUCCUUUUUGUGUCUCCUCCAAUUUGCUCUCUUCAUUCUCUCGGUUAUUUCUCUCACUCCUCUUCUUCUCUCCUUCAAUCAUCUCUUAUUUUCUUUCCUUCUCUCUUCUCUUUCUCCCUCUCCUAUGACCCCCCUCUUUUUAGAUCUCUUUGUCUAGUUUAAGUUGUAAAAUUUAAAAUUUUUAAAUCGCCAACCAAUUAAGUUUUUGAGUCUUAAAGAAAAUUGUUUUCAAGAAAUGUUCUUAAUAAAUGUUUUGAGAAAUGAUAAAAAAAUUCAAAUAGGAUACCAAACAUGCCCUUAAAUUCCUCACUGUUUCAUGGAUCAAAUUGGUUAUCAAACUCAGUUCACAAUCUUGCGAGAAAAUUGAAAUUUCCUUGAGUAAUUAUCUGCAUAUAUAUGACACGAAUUUAUAGAUUUUUUAAUUUGAGAAGAAAAUCACACCAAAUUGAGGUAUAGUUAGAUCACAUGAAAAAUAACACUCCUACUGAAAGAUAUGAGAAAAUUUGAGCAUCGGUCCCUAAACAGGUCAUAAGGUAUAGUAAUGGUUCUUUUGAGUAAACAUUGUUUUAUAAUACCUUCCAAAAUUAAGGGUUUAAAGAGGAAAAUAUAAAAGGAAUUAUUCUAACGUGAUUACCAAAAAUAAAUAAUGUUACAGAUUGUAACAAGUUAUGGACCACUAUUCAAAUUAACUCAAAACAUAUUAAGUAUGUAAAAUAACACUACUCAAGUCAUACUGCUAGUCAUAUACAGGAUGCGUAAUAACAAAUUAUGUAGAUUCGAGAUUAUUAGGGAGCGCAUGGUAAUUAACAUUUACCCUAUACAAAUGACAAGGUGAAAGAAAAACUGUAAAGAUUAUAGGAUUGUCUCUAAAUGCAGCUCAAGAGCCUUUAACGGAAGAACUUCCAAAAUAUUAACCUUAUUGUCAUCGGUCUCAACGAGGAACAUCGAUAGAAAUGGUCAAACCAUUGCCUGAGCAAUCUUGAGGACGCACUUGAUCAUGGUGGUCAACAUAUCCUCCUGUAAAGAAGGCUGGUUUCUCAGGUCUGGGAAGAAUAAUAGUUUCACUUUUUAACAUAAGAACAACUGAGGACAUGGUCGGCCUGUUGUUUGCAUCUUCUUGAACACACAAUAGUCCAAUGUGGAUGUACCUCAAAAAUUCAUUUGGACUGCAGGAAUCUUUUAACAAGGGAUCCAUCAACUCCAACCCUUUCGUUUCAUUCCAUAAUUGCCAAGCCUGCAAUCAAUAUCUCUCAGGGAUGUAUGUACUACUCCAGUUUUAAUAGCUACAUUAAUUAGCUCACGAAUAUUUUGAAUAAGUAUUUCAAGUAAAAAACUUACAUAACCUAUAAGAGUAGGUUUACAAUUUGUGCGAUGAAAGCCUAAAAAGUUCCUUCUCCCCGUUAUGAUCUCAAGCAGAAGUACUCCGAAGCUGAAGACAUCCGAUUUUACUGAAUACAACCCUUCCAUAGCAUAUUCUGGAACCAUGUAACCACUUUACAGGACAGAAAUGGUUGACAUAUAUUAGAGUUUAAAUAACAAAUAUAUACUUUUCCGUUGUCUAUUUAAAGAUAGAGUUAAGUACAUAAGUUGAAACAAAUAAUUGGAACUUAAGAUUACUAAUAUUAGAUAGAGGUAUUUGUAUAAGUUGAAACUUACUAAGUACCAACAAUUCUUUUGGUAUUUCCUUCAGUUUGAUCAUCAAUUCCAAACAUUCUAGCCAUCCCAAAAUCUGAUAUUUUCGGAUUCAUGUUGCUAUCUAAUAAAAUGUUGCUAGCUUUCAAAUCACGAUGUAUAACUCUAAGCCUCGAAUCUUCAUGAAGAUACAAAAUUCCUCGAGCAAUUCCUCCAAUUAUCAUGGUGCGGCUCAACCAAUCUAGUUGUUCUCGUUUUUUAUGUUCUGCAAAUUUAUCAAGUUCAAGUAGUACUUUUUGAAGUUAGGAACGACAAAGAAUUAUAUUUACUGACACAAACAUAUAUGUAUAUUCAUCAAAUGAUGUUCACAUACCAAAUAAAAAAUAAUCAAGGCUUUUGUUGGGCACAUAUUCAUAAACAAGUAUGGUUUCUUCUCCUUCCAAGCAAAAUCCUAAUAGCCUGACAAGAUUUCUGUGUUGAAGCUUGGCUACCAAUACAACCUCGUUCUUAAAUUCUUGUACACCUUGUCCGGAGCUUUUUGACAACCUCUUUACUGCUAUUUCUUGUCCACUAAUAAGCAUUCCCUGUGAUAAGGUAUAUAGGUACUUUAGUUUAUCCAACAAUUUUGUUGUGAUCUAAGCAAUUUAUAUAUACAAUACAAUGUUGGAUUAAUAGAAUGACUCAUGAACUAAUGCAUUAUAUAUUUGUUGGGUUAUUACCUUGAAAACUGCACCGAAUCCACCUUCGCCUAACUUGUUAUAUUCGGAGAACUUAUUUGGCAGGUCAGGUUUUUUCACAAGAGUAAAUUGUAGUUAUGGUCCCUGAACUUUACUCAAAUUGGAGCAAUGGUCAUUCAACUAAAAAUCCAUUAUCAUUGGUCCUUCAACUCAUUAAAACGUGCAGCUAUGGUCCCUCAACUAAAAAUCUAUUACCUUUGGUCCCUUAAUUUUAAUUCAACUGGAGAAAUGGUCCCUUAAUUUUAUCCCAAUUGUAACUAUGGUCCUUCAAACAUAACUCGUUUUGACAAAAUUUUUUACGUAGUUGACGAAAAUGACCAUAAUUACACACUUUGAUGAGUUGAUGGACCCUAAUUAAAUAAAUGGUUAUUCCAACAUAACAUAUUUUGACAAAAUUUUGAGAAAUUAAUGAAAAUGACUAUAGCUACACAUUUUAAUAAGUUGAGGGACCAAUGGUAAUGAAUUUUUAGUUGAGGGACUAUUGCUCCAAUUUGAGUAAAGUUCAUGGACCAUUGCUACAAUUUACUCUUUUCACAAUAAAGCCGGCCUCGGUGAUCAAUAGUGGAACAAUCACUAUAUAUAUUGUAUUUUAUUUCGUAAGGUAUGAUGUGAGAAUCUUACCUUCAAUGGAUGUUUUAUAUAUUACCUUGUAAACAGAACCAAAUCCUCCUUGUCCUAGUUUAUUGGCUUCAGAAAAGUCAUCUGCGGCAAUUCUAAUGGUGUCAAAAUUGAAUUGCAAGGAUUCUGCACUUCCAAUUUCGUCCAUGUCUUCGCCUGCGGUACAAUUUUAACAAAAUAUUGAUAUGUAACAUAAUUACAUCUAGAUGACGUAACAGUACUAGGCUUCCCACUUGAAGAAAAUUGAGUUAAAUUAAUGUUACUGUGUCUAUUUUGUUACAAUACGUACCUGGAAUUAAAUUACUUUGAAACAUUUUCUUUGCAUUCCGUACUCUUAGACAAAUGCCCAUGAACAUUGCUAGUACCAAAGAAGCAAUAAUUGGCACAACAAUAAUGAUGACAGUCCGAGAUUUGCCGUUCUUCAAUCCUGCAAAGUAAAAUCAUAAAUAUAUCUUCUCUAAUCACAUGAGAUUCUGAAUAACAUGUUUAAGUGAUUGAUCUAUCAGAGAGAGGAGUUACCAUUGAUCAAUUAAAUUUUGAGAUCAGUGUCAAGCAAAUAUAGUCAUCAACGUAUGUAAUGGAGUGUACAUACAUAUACGUUAUGCGUGCGUACCUUGUGAAGUGUUUGUGGUAUUGGUUGAUGGUGGUGGAGAAUGUAUUGGUGGCGGAGAUGGCAGUUGUUUGACAGUUGUAGGGUCAUAGAAGGGGUAAAGAUCGAAUCUAAAGUAACAGCUAGGUUUAUUAACUCCCCCACCUACUUUCCCGUAAAAAUUGGAGCUAUAUGCAAAAGCCCCAACUAAGCAAUCACUGCAAUUUUGCUCUGAUAUGUCUGGCGUGCAUUGCGCUAGUGCAAAUAUUGUUUGGAAAGUUGGGGCACUUGUGUUUCCGAAUGCAAAUUUCCGAAGAGAACCGCCAGCUGCAGCUUCCCUUCUUAUGCUGUCCAGUAGCUUCUCCAGCUCUUGGUUGAAUCCAUCCAGCUCGGACGACGAUAUGUUAUUUAUGUUCCAGUAAUACGGCGAAGGCCGCGAAGGCUCAGUUUCCAUGACGCCAUAGAUGGAGCGGUUUGAGUAGCGUAAAUUGCAUUUCUCAUACGAUCCAAAUGCUUCCUUCUGAUUAGGACAACGCUGAAGGAGAUCAUAUCGGGAAUUAUUUAGGCAGCUACGACAAUCUCCCACCGUGACAUCUCCUCUACAAAGCCCGAUUGCAUAAAUGUGCUCGUUCGACGAGUUUAGGCGAUAGGAUGCAUUAUAAAAGCCAUACCCGUUGCCGUUUUCGUCGGAGGGCAGGGAGGAGAGGAGGCGGUUGAGGUUUGUCUGAUAGGUACUAUUGGUGGUAUAGUUUCCUUUUCCGUCUAUGCAAUUUUGACCAAGGGCUUGAUUAAUCAUGAGAAACAGAAUGGGAAAGAGGCAGAAUAGAAAUCUUGAGGAAUCCAUUGCUGGCAUUAUUUGAUAUUUUUGCUAAAAUUGGUUUGUAAAAGAGGAUUAUAGUUCUGAUGGAAAACUUGCUACACGUCUAUAUAUGAAGAACGAAGUCAAUGAAUACCUCACUUUACACAAGACGCGGUGGUGGGAAGACCAGACUUUUUUUUCUUUUUUUUUUAACACAGACCAGACUUUUAAUAGUAGCUCUAGCUACGAUACAGUAUUGGUACUUGCUACCAUUCCUCUACACGUGCAUGUUUAAGCGCAACUUUUUCACGCAUCAAGCCUAUGCAACUAUUAUGAAGAAAGGAUGUCGUUGUGGGGGUCUCAAGCCAAUAACACUCUUAUAUUGAUAAGUUGAAAUUUAAAAUGCAUAAUAACUUUAAAUCAAAUAAUACGUGAUUAAUUUAAAAUACCGCUAUAAUGAUAUCAUUGUAUAAGCAAGUGUCUAUUUUAUAUUACAUCUUUGUAGGUAUUCUUUCAUCAGCGAGGUUUCACUCUAUUAUAAUUGAAGAUGCUGACAUAGACGGGAGUGCUAAAUUAAAUAUUUAAGGAAGCUUCUUCCGAGACUUACACUAUUCAACCAUUGAAAUAAAGUAAACCACAGAUUGCAGGAGUGGUUGGCUCUGGCUGGGCCAACUUCUCUUUGCUUCUCGGUGCACGCAAUCUCUCGGUCAACAAGGUAAAUCAAUUAUAAUACGCAAUUCUGACAAUCAUUUACUCGUUUCGGUGGUUAUACCUUUCUACUUUAUGGUCAGAAUUAAAUUGUCGAUUUGUGACUGACUGUUUCUUAGUUCCUUUCGUCUCGGCUUACAUUGAUUGUAAUCGGAAAAUACAUGGUAGCUAUUACGAUGAGCAAGAAAAGUUACAAUAAUUGAUAUUGCUGCACACCCUACUCUUUACUAUAGUUGAUACUAGCAAAGAUGCCCAAGCUCCAUUGCGGGUUUUGAAUUCGUAAUCAUAGUUUAACACACCAAUUUUUAAAUAAUUCAGAAACCAAUCAAAGCAGCUGAAUCGACAUAGUAAAUUACGUCUUUCAGUUGGAUCUACAUUCUAUUGAAUUUACAUUAAAAGCCUAUCUUAAAAAAAUGGCGGAUUUUUUAAAGUCCCAACUAUAUACAAUGUACGAGUAUUUCACAUGAAUUGGAGAAUGAUGGUUGUUUAAUUGUACCUAAAGUGCAGCAGUAGCUGUCAGUGUGUGGCUAAAGGGUGCGUUUGGUACGUGGGACGGGACGGGACGGAACGGGACGAGGCGUUCCGUCCCGCGUUUGGUACGCCAAAAAUGGGUGGAACGGGCUGUUCCACGGAACAGAUUUUGAGUGUUUUUGCGUUCCACCUCCCCCCCCGGAACGGGUUUGUUACACGUUUGCGGAACGCAAUGUUUUACCAUUUUAAGACAAAUAUACCCCAUGUCUUUUUCAAAAAUUACACCUUCGUUCCGUCCCGUCCCGUUCCGUCCCGUCUGCGUAUCAAACGCACCCAAAAUGCACCUGCACAGUGAAUCAAAAUUGAGUCAUGAUUCCUUGUACUUGUAGCAUAAGUAGAAGAGCAGGUAACUUGGGAUUUAAAAAUUAUACUUUUUCCCAAAAAAUUAUUCAAAUUCACUUAAUAGGUAACUUUCAUGCUCCUUCACUUUACUUUCUAUUUGGCUAGUUCAAUUUUGUACUCGAAUCUUUUCAAAUUCACAUCAGAAAGAUGGCAGCAGUUUAAGUCUUGAAGGUUCUCUUCAUUUAUGUCCUAGUUCAUGGGAAAAACAAAAAAUGUGAUUGCAAAGAUGUGAUUCCCAACAACAAAUCCUACCAAAAUCUGAUCCUUUCACCAGUACCUACCAACAAUUGAAUAUCCCACCAACACUCCAAAUUUUGACAGCCCUUAAGAACAAAACUGUUCUAUGAAGCACAAAACUCUUCCAACACAUUGCUUGCAAGAUUUACUAUGUUUAAACCUCUGAUUUAUUGGUAUCAUGCGAUUUCUUUGAAAAUUUACAUAAACCUCAAAAAGUAGUAAAAGUGCUUCAGCAGCAUGAGGGUUUUUAUAACAAAGAAGUCAUUCAUUUCGGCUGAUAAACUGAAACAAUGAUUGAAACACAAAAGUCUUCGCAUCAGAUAAAAAUGACUGACUAAGAAGAAUUCAAGUGCAAAACCAAGAAGACUUCUAUUUUUCAGAAAAGUAAAAACAAUUAAUCGCUAUGGUACAAAUUCUAAAGUUAAUAAGCCCUAAAGUAGGAAGCCAUAAAAAGAGGAGAAUUUUACAACAUACAUCUCAGAAACAAAUAGACUCAUUUGAAAUGUUCUUAAAGAAAUAAUACAGUGCCAAAUUGGAAUCAUAUCGAAGAAUAAAGAGGCCUCAGAUAUUUUAUCCAUAAACCUAAAAACUACAGAGAACAAAAAUAACAAUCACUCAAAUGGAAAGUACGGGGAAGCACCGCAUCAAAGGUCAAGCGGCAUACCAGAAUUUUGAUUCAAAUGUCAUGGCUGAGAACCUUUGCAUCAAAAGCGGCUGCAAGAGCAAAUGAUGAUGCUGCGAUGGGAGUCCAAACUAAACAGCAAAAAAUUAGAGAGAAUAAGAGUAAGAAUUCGAACAGAGUUCCAUGUGUUUAUAUUGGAUAAAUGACUCUUAGCUUGUUUUGCUUCUUGCAGACUUAUGGGAUUCAGGAAAAAUGUUUUGUUUAGUUCCUCUCGUAGAACUAAAGAGGUGAUGUUGAUACAACCAUUUUUUCCCAUUUUGUUUGACCAAGAAUGUAUUUGUAUAAAAUCCAAAUGCAACCGCAGUUGGGUGAUGGAUGACAUUAUCGCUCGUUUCUUUAACUUCUAAGAUUUCUACUUGCCAUAAAAAAAAUAUAAAAAAAAAAAAAAAACUAGUGGCAAAAUUAUAUCAAGGACACAAAUAGUUACAAAGGCGUGGAUUAUACCUUUUCAUCUUGGAUUUGAGAACUUCGUGUCCUCCGCCGUAUUUUUAAACAUCAGAUCUGAACUCUGGGGUGCCUUCUUUCACGCCUAAACACCGUCGUCUUCGAUCUUGAGGCUUCUACAUAGAGAAUACAUACAUGAGACGGUCAUCUUCUAUUUUUCCCUAAUCUACUAUGAUCGGAGAUGAAGUUAAAGGCAUAAGGUGAGAAAAUUUUACCUGUGAGUGUGUCGACACCAAGAUCAGGAGGUUUGGCAUCUGACUUGCAUGGCUGAGCUCGAUUUAUGAAGAGCAGCGAAGAUGGAGGGGUGAAUCUGACCAUGGCGAUGGAGAUUUUGUGCAUGCUUCUGAUUCUAAAUCGUACCUGCAAUACGGCCGAAAAAUUAAUGCAGCGGUGGAUCGAGAAUGAAAGACAACGGAGACAAGAGUGAAGUCGGGUUGUCUGCAGCGACUCGAACGGAUCAAAAUUUGAUAGAAAUCUUUAGGGCCCGACAGAGAAGAUAGAUAUGAAAUUUUAAUUUUAAUUAGAAGAUGCAGAACCUACCUCUUCCUUCUCUAUGUGUAUGGAGCUUCGUUUCACAAAAUCUCACACCCACCGACACCAGCCCACGAUUUCAGGAACCAAAAUCAACCCUAACCCCAUUUUGCAACCCCUACUCCUCCGUCUCUCUCCCUCUGUUUGCGCUAAGCCACCCAACCCAUUCCAACCCGUCUCAAACCCCACGGACAAAAUUACCCUCCUAACUUUUAACAAUUACCCUCCCAACCCACCCAGCCCUAUCUAGCUGGCAUUGUUGUAAAUAAGAUGAAAUCGAAUGUCAAACUUUUGAAAUACCUCAUCAAUUUUAGAAAAGACACAAGCAUCUACAAUCACGAAUCAAUCAAAAGACAGGAAGGUGACUACGGUGAAACAUGUUAUAGUGACGAUAAAACCACCGUACCAUCACGACUAUUGAUCGUGUUGUUCGUAACAUAUCAAGAUAAGAAAAAUAAGGGGAACUAAUCUAGGAGUGGGCACAGUUUGGUUCAGUACGGUUUUGAGUGAAACCAAAAUCGAAACCAAAAUUUUUUACGGUUUGGAAGCUAAAAUUGAAAUGAAACCAAAUCGUUUGGUUCGGUUCAAUGCGGUUUCAAACAGUUUCGGUUUGGUUUUUAAGAAAAAAUGUACAAUUUGCAAUUUUACAUAUUAACAAGCAUUUCCCAGUAGCAAUAGGAAAAAGACAUUUGUUAUAUAAACAAUUAGCAUGUUGCAUGCAGUUGUGAUGUUAAAAUAUGUUUGUGCAACAAAAGGAUGUCCCGUACAAGGUAUAACAUAAAACAAGUUGAAUAACUUUGAAUUCAUUAAACAUGAGCGAAACUUUCAUACUAGAAUAUGUUAUAUCAUGCUUCAAAUGAGUGGACUUCAUUAGAUCAUUGUUCGACUCUUGAUAAUAAGAUUAGUCCACCCUUGUACAUAUAUGUGUGUGUGUGUGUGUGUGUGAUGGUAUAAAAUAACAAAGGUCCUUCAAGUUAAUGAACGAAAGAAAGUGAUGAAUGAUGAUAUUCUAGUGUGGUUGUGUCCAUACUAAGUGCGUGAAUUCUAACAAAAAACCAAUUAAAACAUGAAAUUUAAUAUGGACAUUUAAUUAAAUGUUCAUUAAUAUUUGUGGUGCGGUUCGGUUUCGGUGUGGUUUUCAAAAGUCAAAACCGAAACCGAACCGUUUUCUAUGUUGCGGUUCGGUUUCAAAACCGAAACCAUUCCAAAACCGCAAAACCAAACUAUUUGGUGGGUUCUAUUUGGUUCGUGUUUCGGUUUCGGUUUUCGGUUCUAAGUGCCCACCCCUAAACUAACUUGCAUAGAAACUCCCAGUUAGAUUCUGAAGCGCAUCUUGAGCCUGUUCUUCCUCACUGAGCUGAACGUACACAUUCCCAACCUACGCACACAAACACAAUAAAUUAGUCCAAAUAAUCAACCAAGCAAUUUUAUUGUACUCAUAUGUGUGCCAGAUUUGGAAGAUUGAGCUAGCAUUGUAGACAUCAAAGGAACUUGCUUUGAAACUUUUUGCAAAGUGGACUCCUCAGCUCGAAGCUGUGAACACAACUCUUUCAAGGACACAAGAGUUUCACUACCACAAGUCACAGACUUGAUGGUGUUAUACUCAGAAGGUAGGCCUCGAAGAGCCACAAUCACAAUAUCCUCAUCAGAUAUGAAGACCCCAACAGCAACAAGUUGAUCUCAGGUAUCCUUAAUUCUUUGAAGAUACUCAUCAAUUGAUUCAGACCCUUUCUGUAUAUUUUGCAAAUCAAUUUUCAUUUGAACUAUACUAGUCCCGGUCAUGUUUACAAACCGUUCUCUAAGACUAAGCCACAUUUCUUGAGAACUCUGACAUCCAAUCACACAAGAUAAAGCAGUAGUGGACAAAGUAGCAGUAAGAAGAGUCAUCAAUGUUUUAUCAUGAAUUUUCCACACCUUAUACGCAUCAGAAAUUACUGGCACUUGAUUAUCAACCUUCCCCUCAGAUUCAAAAUCAACAAAUUUGGUCGGACACGGAAUGGAUCCAUCAACAAAACCACGAAUUCCAUUAGCAUUUAACAACAACUCCAUUUGAAAAUUCCAAUUCACAUAGUUAGAGUCAUCUAACUUCACAGUAACAAUAUUACCCACACUUGGAAUGAGAGAAGCAAUAGGCAAUUGUGUAAGCAUUAACUGAGUAGAGGUAACCAUUGUGAAAAUACAAACAGAUCAAUCAUGACACAGAUAAGCAAAUCGCAGAAACACAGAAUAUAGUAGAAAUCGUGAACAACAAUUCCCAAAAAUUAGGGUUUAGACAAACAAGAAUCAAAAGUCAAGGGAUCAAGAAUCAGGAAAUAAUCAAAAGAAUAUCACCUUCGUGAACUCUGACGACUCAACACCGCCAUAAAUCCCCAAACACUAGGGUUUCAGAAGAACUCCGACGACGACGACACCGACUUUAUCGACAAUCACCACCGACAAACACCAGCGACUCCACCGACUCUUACGAUUAUACGUUGCUACAGUGCAACAAAGGCAACACUCCGAUCAAACAACACCAAGAAUCAAACGAGCGGAAGCAAUAGGAUCAUCAAUCAACAGCGCGAGCCUUGAUCGGCGAAGAUACCAUGAUAACUGUAAGAAAAUGUAAGAGCUGUGAACUGUAGAGAGGGAAAGUAGAGAGAGUUUUGUAAACUGAAUUAUUAUUACCACACUAUUCAAUCCAAUACAAUACAUUAACUUGUCCUAUAAAUACACACCUAUAACUAACUCAAGACUUAACCAAUGAUACACAGACACAUGGUAAGCUAUACAUGUAACACCUGACACUAUUAUAUCCUAAUAAGUUCUAUGCAGUUAGAUAAUUUCUUUUGAACAGUUAGAUUAAAAAAGUGGAAUGAAAGGAGAGAAAUAAGAGGGGAGAAAAUUCAAGUCCAAUUAAUCAAAGUCGUCGUUUGAUUGGUAGACUGGUCCCAAAACAACUCUUAGUCUAUCUCUUAUACAUCACAAGCCUUAUUGCAAUUACCUAAACCAUUGAAAAGAAAAAUGAACAAAACAAAUGGUAAAUUGCACAUUAUGAUUUAAAAAACAAUGCAGUUUCCAUCUUAAAGAGCUAUCUAGGAUAUACUUCGGUGAUCAAUGAACCUCAUUUUCUGGUGCUUUGACAAAGCUGUUCUUGGAUCGAUCUGACCUAGUUGUAAUCACCUCCUAACUAUUCUUUCAUCCCAAAGUCAUGUCAAAUCCAACGUUACUAUCUCCGAAAAUGAUGGUUGUGAGGGUACUGGAAGUGUGACUGAGUAACUGUUAAGCAUUAGAACAAUAGCAUUCAUGGUUGGCCUAUCAGCUAUAUUUUCUUGCACACAUAGCAACCCAAUAUGGAUGCAUCUCAUGAUUUCAUUUCUUAAACCGUUCGUCAACGCGGGAUCUAUUAGAUUUGAAGUUGUCCCUUCCCUCCAACAUUUCCAUGCUUGCGUUGUGAAAUUCGUAGAAAUAUAGUUAGAGAUAAAUUAUUUUUCUUGGUUGCAUUAUGCAUAUAGUUUAAAUUCUUACGUAGCUUAGAAGAUCCUCCACGUUCUUGCCGUGACGAAAGGAAUUAUUUUUCUGUCCGCUCACUAUCUCCAAAACUAAGACACCAAAACUAUAGACAUCCGACUUAACAGAAAAGUGCCCAUACAUCGCAUAUUCUGGAGCCAUAUAUCCACUGCAUAUCGAAACAAGAAUAAUAUAUGUUGGUUUUAUGAUCAAACUUAGUUGAGAACUUUGGAUUAUUGAUAUAGAUUAACACAAUUAUAAUAUAAGCCAUGUAGCCUUGUCGAGUACUUACUAGGUCCCCACAAUUUGACUGGUAUUGCCUUGUGUUUGAUCAACCUCAAACAAUUUUGCCAUGCCAAAAUCUGAUAUCUUGGGAGUCAUAUCUUCAUCUAUCAAGAUAUUAAUGGCUUUGAGAUCACAAUGAAUAAUUCUAAGCCGCGAAUCCUCAUGAAGGUAAAUGAGCCCUCGAGUAAUGCCUACUAUGAUUUUGUAGCGCCUAUCCCAAUCCAAUUGUGCGCGCUUGAUUGGAUCUGCAUGUUCAAUUCAAACCAAGGUUACAAUGUUUCUUGUAUGUUACAGGAAUGAGAUUUUAUGGUAAAAUUUUGAAGUUAAAGCUAAAAUUGUACAAAUUAGGGACAAACUCAUAAAUAAGAAGCCUUUCAACUCCUUCCGAGCAGAAACCCAAGAGCCUAACUAAGUUUCGGUGCUGAAGCUUUGCCACUAACAAGACCUCAUUUUUAAACUCCAAAUCUCCUUGUCCAGAAUUUACGGAGAGCCUUUUCACUGCUAUCUCUUCUCCAUUCAAUAACCUACCCUGAAAGAGUAUCAAAACAAAAAGGUUGCAUUCAAGGAAUAUAUACAUGAAACUGGUGAUGUUGCCCAUAUAUAUCAUGAUGUUAUUAAGAUUGGCAGGUUAGGUUUUUUCACAAUAUAUUGUAUUUUAUUUUAUUUCGUAAGGUAUGAUGUGAGAAUCUUAUCUUCAAUAGAUGUGUUCUAUAUUACCUUGUAAACAGAACCAAAUCCCCCUUGUCCUAGUUUAUUGGCUUCAGAAAAGUCUUCUGUGGCAACUCUAAUGGUGUCAAAAUUGAAUUGCAAGGAUUCUGCACUUCCAAUUUCGUCCGCGUCUUCGCAUUUGGUAAAAUUUUAACAAAAAUUUUGUAUGUAACAAAAUUAGAUCUAGAUGACAUAACAGUACUAGGCUUCCCACUUGAAGCAAAUUGAGAUGAAUUAAUGUUACUGUUUAUUUUGUUACAGUACGUGCCUGGAAUUAAAUUACCUUGAAGCUUUUUCUUUGCCUUCCGUACUCUUAGACAAAUGCCCAUGAACAUUACAAGUACCAAAGAAGCAAUAAUUGACACAAUAAUAAUGAUGACAGUCUGAGAUUUGCUGCUCUUCGAUCCUGAAAAGUCUUCUAUGGCAACUCUAAUGGUGUCAAAAUUGAAUUGCAAGGAUUCUGCACUUCCAAUUUCGUCCGCGUCUUCGCCUGUGGUAAAAUUUUAACAAAAAUUUUGUAUGUAACAAAAUUAGAUCUAGAUGACAUAACAGUACUAGGCUUCCCACUUGAAGCAAAUUGAGAUGAAUUAAUGUUACUGUUUAUUUUGUUACAGUACGUACCUGGAAUUAAAUUACCUUGAAGCUUUUUCUUUGCCUUCCGUACUAUUAGACAAAUGCCCAUGAACAUUACAAGUACCAAAGAAGCAAUAAUUGACACAAUAAUAAUGAUGACAGUCCGAGAUUUGCUGCUCUUCUAUCCUGCAAAGUAAAAUCAGAAAUAUAUAUUCUCUAAUCAUAUGAGAUUCUAAAUAACACGUUUAAGUGAUUGAUCUAUCAGAGAGAGGAGUUACCAUUGAUCAAUUAAAUUUUGCGAUCAGUGUCAAGCAAAUAUGCAGUCAUCGGCGUAUGUAAUGGAGUGUACAUACAUAUACGUUGUGCGUACGUACCUUUUGAAGUGUUUGUGGUAUUGGUUGAUGGUGGUGGAGAAUGUACUGGUGGUGUUAUUGGUGGCGGAGAUGGCAGUUGUUUGACAGUUGUAGGGUCAAUGAAGGGGUAAAGAUCGAAUCUAAAGUAACAGCUAGGUUUAUUAACUCCCCCACCUACUUUCCCCUCAAAAUAAUUGGGGAAUUCUCCAUAAGCCCCAACUAAGGGCUGGUUUGGUAUUGCUGUGGUUUGAAAAAAAGCUGUUGUGAGAAUAAGUGACUGUGCUGUGAGAAUAAGCGGCUGUGAAAUAAAUCAGCAGAGUGCUUGGUAAACUUUUUUGUAAAAGUGCUUUUGGAAAGAAAAAAAGCAGUCUGAUAGUGGGUCUUUUCAUUAAAAGAGCAUUAUAGCUCCGUGUGCUUUGAAAAAAAACCAGUUUUCCAAAGCUGCAAAUAGCAGCUUCAGUUUUUUCCUUUGAUUUCAGUUUAUUCUCACAGCAGCUUCCAAAAUAAGCCUUUUUUUUCAGUUUACCAAACAUCUAAAACACUUGGUGCAAUGGCAAGUGCCUUCGCCCGUGAGCGGUAGGUCUCGGGUUCGAGACUUAGGAGCAGCCUCUCCAUAAAUUGGGGUAAGGCUAGCCGACAUUCACCUCUUCCAGACCCUGCAUAAAGCGGGAGCCUUGUGCACUUGGUACAACCAAACAUCUAAAACACUCACAGCUUUUUUUCAUGGAUGUUUUUUUUAAGCACAUCGCUCCCAAAACACCCCUAAGCAAUCACUGCACUUUUGCUCUGAUAUGUCUGGCGUGCAUUGCGCUAGUGCAAAUAUUGUUUGGAAAGUUGGGCCGCUUGUGUUUCCGAAUGCAAAUUUCCGAAGAGAACCGCCAGCUGCAGCUUCACUUCUUAUGCUGUCCAGUAGCUUCCUCAGCUCUUGGUUGAAUCUAUCCAGGUCGGACGACGAUAUGUUUUUUAUGUUCCAGUAAUACGACGAAGGAUCAGUUUCCAUGACGCCAUAGAUGGAGCGGUUUGAGUAGCGUAAAAUGCAUUUUUCAUACCAACCAAUUGCUUCCUUCCGAUUUGGGCAAAGCUGAGGGAGAGCAUAUCGGGAAUUAUUUAGGCAGCUACGGCAAUCUUCCGUCUUGGCAUCUCCUCUACAAAGUCCGAUUGCAUAAAUGUGCUCGUUCGACGAGUUUAGGCGAUAGGAUGCAUUGUAAAAGCCAUGCCCGUUGCCGUUUUCGUUGGAGGGCAGGGAGGAGAGGAGGCGGUUGAGGUUUGUCUGAUAGGUACUAUUGGUGGUAUAGUUUCCUUUUUCGUUUAUGCAAACUUCACCAAGGGCUUGAUUAACCAUGAGAAACAGAAAGGGAAAGAGGCAGAAUAGAAAUCUUGAGGAGUCCAUUGCUGGCAUUAUUUGAUAUUUUUGCUAAAAUU